AUACGGAGGGUGCAAGCGUUAUUCGGAAUCACUGGGCGUAAAGGACGCGUAGGCGGGUUGGCAAGUCAGAUGUGAAAUCCUACAGCUUAACUGUAGAACUGCAUUUGAAACUGCUAACCUAGAGUAUGGGAGGGGGAGAUGGAAUUAGUGGUGUAGGGGUAAAAUCCGUAGAUAUCACUAGGAAUACCGAAAGCGAAGGCGAUCUCCUGGAGCAUAACUGACGCUAAGGCGUGAAAGCGUGGGGAGCAAACAGGAUUAGAUACCCUAGUAGUCC
rnacentral:rRNA from 1 species